rnacentral:rRNA from 1 species
GACACGGUCCAAACUCCUACGGGAGGCAGCAGUGAGGAAUAUUGGUCAAUGGGCGCGAGCCUGAACCAGCCAAGUAGCGUGAAGGAUGAAGGUCCUACGGAUUGUAAACUUCUUUUAUACGGGAAUAAAGUGGCCUACGUGUAGGCUUUUGCAUGUACCGUAUGAAUAAGCAUCGGCUAACUCCGUGCCAGCAGCCGCGGUAAUACGGAGGAUGCGAGCGUUAUCCGGAUUUAUUGGGUUUAAAGGGAGCGUAGACGGGGGAUUAAGUCAGUUGUGAAAGUUUGCGGCUCAACCGUAAAAUUGCAGUUGAUACUGGUUCCCUUGAGUGCAGUUGAGGCAGGCGGAAUUCGUGGUGUAGCGGUGAAAUGCAUAGAUAUCACGAAGAACCCCGAUUGCGAAGGCAGCCUGCUAAGCUGUAACUGACGUUGAGGCUCGAAAGUGUGGGUAUCAAACAGGAUUAGAUACCCUGGUAGUCCACACGGUAAACGAUGGAUACUCGCUGUUGGCGAUAUACUGUCAGCGGCCAAGCGAAAGCAUUAAGUAUCCCACCUGGGGAGUACGCCGGCAACGGUGAAACUCAAAGGAAUUGACGGGGGCCCGCACAAGCGGAGGAACAUGUGGUUUAAUUCGAUGAUACGCGAGGAACCUUACCCGGGCUUGAAUUGCAGAGGAAGGAUUUGGAGACAAUGACGCCCUUCGGGGCCUCUGUGAAGGUGCUGCAUGGUUGUCGUCAGCUCGUGCCGUGAGGUGUCGGCUUAAGUGCCAUAACGAGCGCAACCCCUCUCCUUAGUUGCCAUCAGGUUAAGCUGGGCACUCUGGGGACACUGCCACCGUAAGGUGUGAGGAAGGUGGGGAUGACGUCAAAUCAGCACGGCCCUUACGUCCGGGGCUACACACGUGUUACAAUGGGGGGUACAGAGGGCCGCUACCACGCGAGUGGAUGCCAAUCCCCAAAACCUCUCUCAGUUCGGACUGGAGUCUGCAACCCGACUCCACGAAGCUGGAUUCGCUAGUAAUCGCGCAUCAGCCACGGCGCGGUGAAUACGUUCCCGGGCCUUGUACACACCGCCCGUCAAGCCAUGAAAGCCGGGGGCGCCUAAAGUCCGUGACCGUAAGGAGCGGCCUAGGGCGAAACUGGUAAUUGGGGCUAAGUCGUAACAAGGUAGCCGUACCGGAAGGUGCGGCUG